rnacentral:lncRNA from 1 species
GACUUGUACGAGGAGGUAUAUCUCGUUGUAUAGAGCCGACAAUCGUUUCCAUGUGUGAUUUCGAGUUGGAUAAUUGAUUCUGCAUACUUUGAUUUUGUUCAUCAAUGUAAGAUUUGGCUGAGUUGAAACUAGUAUCCACAUAAGAUUGCAUGCUAUAGAAGUAGUCUUGUUGGCUUUUUCGCUGAUGUUCAAAAAAUUGUUUUUGAUUGUCAAGAAUCCUUU